AAGGUAGCAUAAUCACUUGUCUUUUAAUUGGAGGCUGGAAUGAACGGUUUAACAAAAAGUAUUGUCUUGGUAGUAAAAUUGUAAUUUAUAGUUUAGGUAAAAAUACCUAGGUAAUACUAAGGGACGAUAAGACCCUAAAAGUUUGAUUUUUAAGAAGGUUUAAGGUCAAAAUAAAAUGUAUUUUAGCUGGGGUAGUGUCUUUAAAUAAACUAAGGUUUUUUUUUGCAUGUUGGAGGAAGGUCCUUUAGAUAAGGAUAAAUUGAGUAAGUUACUUUAGGGAUAACAGCGUAAUAAAUCUAGGGAGAUCGUAUCUAUAGAUUUGAUUGCGACCUCGAUGUUGAAUUAUAAUAUCAUUAUGGAGCAGCAGCUAUAAGUGAAGGUUUGUUCAACCUUUAAAUUUUUACGUGAUCUGAGUUUCAAACCGGA
rnacentral:rRNA from 1 species